GAUGAAGAACGCAGCGAAAUGCGAUACGUAAUGUGAAUUGCAGAAUUCAGUGAAUCAUCGAAUCUUUGAACGCAUAUUGCGCUCUCUGGUAUUCCGGAGAGCAUGCUUGUUUGAGUAUCAGUAAACACCUCAACUUCCAUAUCUUUUUUUGAAAUGGGAGUUGGACUUGAGUGAUCCCAACGCUUUUCCUCACCGAAAAGUGGCGGGUUACUUGAAAUGCAGGUGCAGCUGGACUUUUCUCUGAGCUAUAAGCAUAUCUAUUUAGUCUGCCUAAAAACCAGAUUAUUACCUUUGCUGCAGUUAACAUAAAGGAGAUUAGUUCUUGUGCUGACUGAUGCAGGAUUCACAAAGACAGCUUCGGCCGACUUUGUAAACUCGAUCUCAAAUCAAGUAAGACUACCCGCUGAACUUAAGCAUAUCAAUAAGCGGAGGA
rnacentral:misc_RNA from 1 species